CAACAACCACGCAGGAAAAUGUCAGGGCAUAAUGAACAGAGAAUGUUCCUUUCCACGGACUGGUCAGGGAAGACCUCCCCAAGGAGGUGUGGUUGGAGCCACACCUCAAAGGCAUCACCGUGGAGACCUGGGGAUGCCUGUUCGAGGCAGCGAGCACCCCAUGUGCCAAGGCCCUGCGGUGGGAAGGCGUGCAUUGGAAGACUGUGAACUACAAGAGGGGUGGGACCACAUCUGCUUUGCUCUCCGUUGGAUCCCCAGCCCAGCACCCCACUUGGGCCUCCGUGAUGCAUCUCAGUUGCUCCAGGUGGGAACAAUUCCGACCUCCCUGGUGGUGCCUGCACGUGGAGAUGGUCCCAUGCAACAUCCACUGAGCACUUAACCUCGUGCUGGGCUCGUGGAACUGAAUCCUCAUGGAGACUCUGAGGUCGCCCUGCCUGCAACCGGAAGUGACUCUCCUUGGCGAGGUCGUGGCCGGCCCUGUGAGCCAAACGUCCUUUCAUCUCUGCCCUUCUGUCUUGCGAGGUGGCUGCAUGGGCUGGCACAAGGACGCUCCAGCCAAGGACUUGGGGCUCUCUUGGGUAAACGCCACGCACAUUUGGACCUUGAAGAUGGGUAAUAAAUAAAAGCUGGACUGGGUGAUGGUCAGGGCAAGUUGGUCCUUG